GAGCAGUGCGGUCCUUCCACACUGAACCUUGUUUAAAUGUAUUAACUUAUCCUGGCCUCCUUUCCUUUCUUUCUCCCUAUGUGUUCUAAAUGGAUUUUUAGCAAACCAUUUCAUGACUUCCUGGUAGUAUUUUUGGCAUUUUGAUAGCCUGAAAAGGCAUCAAGAUAAUUUCCAAAAAAAAAAAAAAAAAAAAAAAGAUAAUUUCCCACAGGAGGGUGGUAGAAAUUGGCUCUCAGGACCUUAGCGUGACCCCUGAUGAUUGUGCAUGAGAUCGCUUGUGGGCAAAUAUAAGUUGGGAGGUACUAUAAACAGAGAGACUCCUGUUUGCUGUUGGGCAAUAUUCUGGGGCUAGGGCCUCAGGAAGGAGGUUUCUGAUGAUAAUCCAUCUCUCUGGUCUGCUCCGGUAAUGAGGUAAAGACACACAAGAUAAGCUAAUCUAUCUAUCUAUCUAUCUAUCUAUCUAUCUAUCUAUCUAUCUAUCUAUUUAAUAUUUAAAGAUUGUAUUUAUUUAUUCAUAGAGACAGAGAAAGAGAGAGAGAGGCAGAGACACAGGCAGAGGGAGAAGCAGGCAUCAUACAGAGAGCCUGAUGUGGGACUCGAUCCAGGGUCUCCAGGAUCACGCCCUGGGCUGCAGGUGGCGCUAAACCUCUGCGCCACUGGGGCUGCCCAAGCUAAUCAAUUUAAAGACAUGAGGGCAGUUGCCCUGGUAGCUUCAAAAUCACUUCAGCUUUCCCUCAUCUUUCAUCAGAUGAACAGGUAGGUUAGUUUCAUAUUGUGAUUUUCUUACCUACUUUUUUCUGAUUCCCUCUGGUUUUUAUAGUGUGGCCUCUGAGACAGUUUUCUUAUGUUUUAAAAAUAAGUGUCUAUUAUAGAAUAUGUUCACUAAAAAUUGUCCAUGCUCAUUAGGUUUGGAAAACAAACGUAUAUAGAAAAAAAGAGAAAAAAGGCUAUAACCCCA
rnacentral:lncRNA from 1 species